UACGUAGGGGGCAAGCGUUGUCCGGAUUUAUUGGGCGUAAAGAGCGUGUAGGCGGCCUGAAAGGUCAGCUGUGAAGACUCGAGGCUCAACCUCGAGACGUCGGUUGAAACCAUCUGGCUAGAGUCCGGAAGAGGAGUGUGGAAUUCCCGGUGUAGCGGUGAAAUGCGCAGAUAUCGGGAAGAACACCCGUGGCGAAGGCGGCACUCUGGGACGGUACUGACGCUGAGACGCGAAAGCGUGGGGAGCGAACAGG
rnacentral:rRNA from 1 species